GACUUCUCGAGCUGCAGUCGGUGAAGAGAUAAUUAUGGUGGUUAUACGUCCCAGUCUUAGACUCAUAAUCGGACCGUAAACCUGAGCCAGGUUGGCUAAGGAUUUAUGCGGGUGUUUGCCGAGGUUGUGUAUAUUUCCUAUGAGUGGUAAGGGGAAGGGUCCUGGUGGAAGCUUUUGAACAGCUUUCAUAUGAUUUUUUUGUAGUAAGAAGAGUGAAAAGGCCAGCAGUAUGCACAGCACACUGAUCAAAAAGAUCUCCAUAUGCGCUGGUUCUGGUUGAACCUUGACGAAGGGUUAAUAUACUGAUAAACAAUAAAGAAGAUGAGGGUUGGGAUGCUUAUGCAAUUGUGUUAGUUUCUGUUUCUAUUUAUACACAAACAGGACCGGCAGAAAAUAGAAAUCAAUGGUUCCAAUUAAAACAACCUAAAACGUCUAUGUCCAGAAUACUGCUUAAAGAUUUGACACUUCAAUUAUUUCUCAAACAAAUGUUGUUGGCGUCACGCCAUCUCCAACGGUGGAAGCAGUUUUUUAUCUAAAUUUUUGUCCAAAUUUAGACCGAAUUAUCUUUUCAUUUUAACUAUUCGGCCUAAAUUUUGGUCCAAAUUCAUAUACUCCCUCCGUCCCGGUCAAUUCUAUACGGUUUAUUUUUCGGGAUGUCCCAUCAUUUCUAUACAUUCCCAAAAUAGCAAUUUUUUAUAAUAUAAAACACUAUUACACCCACUAAUUUCUUCAGCUAUCUCCAUUCUAUAAUACUAAAAACACUAUUACACCCACCACUUUCCUCCACUAUCUCAAAUCUAUUAUUAAAAAUAAAUGGGUCUCAGCACUUUACCCACUUCUCAUCUAACUUUACUCAAAUCUUACCCUUUUUCUUCGUUUCCGUGUCGAAUCCCAAUGUAUAUUAUUCAUUGGGACGGAGGGAGUAUACAUAUUUUAUUCUUCAAACUUUCUUUUUAUUAUUAUUAUUAUUAUUAUUAUUAUUAUUAUUAUUAUUAUUAUUAUUAUUAUUAUAUUUUAAUAAUAAUAUAAAAUUUCAUAUUAAUCUUAAACUUAUAAAUUUAUUUAAUUAGAAAAACGCUACAUUCAAACAAAGAAAAUCAAAAGAAAUUUAACAUCUUACUAUAUUAACUAAAAAAAAUAAAAGAAAGUUUUAGUUUAUAUUAUGAUUUCUUCUAAGUUGCAGUUUCAAUCAAGUUUUAUCGAGCGUAAUCUCUAUUUUAUGUUUAAUUAAUGUAUUGUUAAUUUGAAUUUAAUAAAUUUAAGAGUCUUUAGUUUUAUUAUAUUUCAGAAUUAAAUAUAAUUUGUAAUUAUUUAAUAAUUAUUCUAACAUAUAAUCAAUCAACUAACUAAAUAUACAAAACAUAAAAGGUUAUUAUUAUAUUAUUAAAAAGAUUUAGGCAAGUGAAUAGGGUUGGCCUCAAUUUAGGCAGGCACCGUUCACCGGUCUAAAUUUAAACCAAGAUUUAGGUCACUAUCGGAAAAAUUUACGUCGAAACUGGUCCAAAUUUGGACCUUUAGCCCCCUGUUGGACUAACAACCAUUUUUUAAUUAAGUUUUGAUUUUUUUUAUUUCAAUCUCAUAAAUAAUGAUAACGUUAUUUCGGUAGUUGUCCCGAUAUUGAUGUGAUUCCACCAAUUAACUCAUGAUUCAACCAUUUAAAUAUAAUUUUUGUUUUUUACGACACUCAUGUGGAUACAUUUUUAUCAUCUCUAAUAAAUUAUUUUUUGUAGCUCUCUUAACUAAUUCUUGAUCCUGCCUCCUUGUACAGAAAUUAUUAACGUUGGUGUUCGUAGAGGUUUGGGUGCUUUAAACGAUUUUUAAAACUGAUGCUCCUAUUUUUCAAGAUCGUAAAUGAAAAUUUUACAUACAUUCAAACUAAUAUACAAUAAUAUAAUAAAAACAUUUAUUUAAAAUUAACACAAUCAAUUAAAGUGCAUGUAAAUAUAUAAAUACAUAGAUUUAUCAUUAUAUGCAAUAGUAGAAUUUUUUGGUACUUGGUACUUUUAUGACAGUGAUGCCCAGGACGUCCAUCUUGGUCGCCAUAACAAGGGCCAGUCCUGGAUGUUUCCGUUGAGAGACUUAUGAAAAUGAACACUUGUUCGUCAUUUAAUACCUUGAGGAUCGAUAGACCUAAGAAUAGGAAAAUAAUCCGCAAAAUUAGGCUUACCGGACUCCAUCAUAAGGAGCCUAAAUGAAGAGCCUCUUGGAGAUGCUCUCUAAUGGAGCUCUUAAACAAGCUCCUAUCCUUCAAUUUAAAGAGCAAAUCAAAAAAUAGUGCUCCAAUGGGCUCCUAGAUGCUCUUUAAAAAUUUAAGAGCCUACCAUCUCUCCACUCUUUUGAAGAGCAUCUAGUAGCUCCUAACUAAUAUUAUAUUAAUUUUUCUCCCACUACACAUUCAACCUUUCUCUCUCUUUUCACUUCUCUCUCUAAUUUAUAUGAAUAAAAUAAGAAUAGAGAGCAUGUUUAAAGAGGAGCAUUGGAGUUGGAAGAUUUUUCAAUGUAGAGCAUCUCCAAUAGUCUCUUAGUUGGCUCCUAUGUAUAAUAUAAAAUAUUAAGCUCCUAGUAAGUUAGUACAUUGUUAGGAGUUUGAACUCCAAUAAUGCUCUUUAUACUCACUCUUAACAUUAUAUUUUAUUAUUAUUUGAACUCCACUAUGAUAAAAGUACAAAGUCACAUGGGUGAUAGUGAAUAUUAUAUUACAAAAAACAAGUUAAGAGCCUUGUAGUGGCUCCUAAAAGAGAGGAGAGAGAAGGGCCUCUUAGUAUUUUUAAGAGCCAUUAAGAGCCUAUUGGAGCUCUAUUUUCUCUUAUCCUCUUUACUUUUGGUUUUAAGAGCCACUUUAAGAGGUUAUUGGAGAUGCUCUUAACUCACUAAGAGCCACAUAUUAUAUUAUAUUUUAAAAAGUGAUUUAAGAGCACCAUUGGAGAUGCUCUAACUUGAGAUUUGAGGAGGGAGAGAAAAAAUGUUGCUCCAAGAGACUCUUAAGUGGCUCUUAAAUCACUAAGAGCCUCUUGUUUCUCUCUCCUCUCUCCUCAAAGUUAAGAGCCACCACAUUAUUCCUAACUUAUUUUUUCACAAUAAAAAAAUCCUUCAUUCCACUUCACCUCCAUCUUUUCAUCUCUUUUGUUAUAGUGGAGCCCAAUAUAUGAAUAAAAUAUGAAAUAGAGAAGAGAUGUAGAGAGUAUUAUUGGAGCCACAUUUUUUAUAUUAUAUUUAGGACCCAACAAAGAAGCUCUUGGAGAUGCUCUAAUGCUCCACACCGUUUCCUUAAACUCCUUAGCUACAUUCCCAUGAUACGGAUCUGCCAUAUCCUUGGAAAACAUGGUAUUAGACAAAAGAUUAAGCGCGGUCUGAAAAGCAGCACGACCAAUAUCUACAGCCUCCCCACUUUCGCUACACUUAGUAAUGUAUCCAACAAGCUCCUGCACCUUGUUUGUUCGAAGAUGAUGAUUUGCAUCCAGCUUGCUAGUAGUAAAAAUAUAAGUGCUAAUAAUUUUUGUCAUCUGUAGCCUCAUUCUUAUCAGUGGUGUUUACAGGGCCGACUUUAGAGAUUUGGGUGCUCUAGACGAUUUUUGAAACUGAUGCUCCUAUUUUUUCAAGAUCAUAAAUGAAAAUUUUACUUACAUUCAAAUCAAUAUACAAUGACCAUACAAAAAAAAAAAGUUCAAUAUACAAUAAAAUCAUAUAAAUAUUGGUUUAAGAUUAACACAAUCAAUUCAAAUGCAUGUAAAUAUAUAAAUACAAAAAUUUAUCAUUAAAUACUACAUAUGCAUGAAUUUGUUGAUGUCCUAGGAUAGUGUGUCCAAGAUCCGUUGAGAGAUUUAAGAGUCAUCCAGAUAGUUCACAACCUUCGUGACAACAACCAUAAUCUGCAACGUACUUCCGAAAGCCAUAGUUAUUGCUCUCCAAACACUAACCAUAGAUUAGGACACUCUUGGGGGCAUGGCCCUGAUGUAGCUCUGUUGUAGACUGAUAUAUAAUACAGAACAUCAGAGCCCGUUUUGGUGUGUGGAAAAACUAAACCUUACUCCCAGAGGCGGAUCUUAGAAGGGGUAAGAGGGGGCAACUGACCCCCCUUAAUUUUUAUUUUUUUUAAUAUUAUACAUAUUUUUAGGUUGUAAAAUUGAAAUUGACCCCCUUAAUUUUUUUGUGACCCCUUUUAUUUUUUUUUACAAAAAAAUUGACCCCCCUUAACUUUAUAGUCAGAUCCGCCACUGCUUACUCCGUUAUUUAGAAACGCUAAUAAACUUACUGGUGUAGGAAAUGACAAAUAUGAGAAAGAAAAAUGCUCAUACUACAAGAUUAUUAUUAUAAUAAUUGUCCAAUAGUUAGAGAGCUGAAGUCAAGCUAUAUUUGUUUUUCAUAAAUUUGGUCACAAAAGAUGUGUCGUUUUUGUAUAAUUAAGAAGUAGUUAUUUGGUAGUUAUCUAUUCUGUUUUGAGAAUCGAAUCCAACCACAGUUUAUUGGGAGUAUGGAUAAACUGAAGGUUCUCAUUGUCACAAAUUAUGGGUCUUCCUUCUCUAAGCUAGACAACUUUUAUUGUCUUGGAAGUUUACCCAUUCUAAGGUGAAUCAGAUUAGAACGAUCGAGUUUCAUUAUCUUCCCUUAACACGUCCUCAAUCGAGUUGGUGAACCUGCAGAAGAUAACUUUUACAAUGUGUGAGAUCGGCGAGGCAUUUGAGAAUGGUACUAUAUAUGGACCUCCCUCGCAUCUUCCCUAAUCAUCUGGAACUUGAGAUUGACUGUUGUGAUGACUUGAUGAAAUUGCAUGCUGGAAUCUGUAAUGUUGUCAGUCUUAAGAAGAUCUGCAUCACUUACUGCAAUGAGCUAUCUUUGCUUCCAGAGGAGAUCGGCAGGCUCAGAAAUCUUGAAGUCUUGAGGCUCAAUUCUUGUACAAAGCUAUUAGAGUUGCCAGAGUCAAUUGGAAACCUCCAAAAAUUAACAGUUCUUGAUAUAUCUGAUUGCUUAAGCAUAAGUAAUUUGCCUAGAACAGUAGGUGAGUUGUGUGCUUUAAAAAAGUUCCACAUGAGAGGUUGCGAAGGAUUGUCAGACCUACAUAAGCUUCCCUCAUCUGUAAAAGAUCUGACGCUAUUAGAGAAGGUGAUAUGUGAUGAAGAAGCUAGUCAUCUAUGGAAAACAUAUCGAAGCCAUUUGAAAAAUCUGGUAGUCGAAGAGGUAAAAGAAGAUGCAUUUGAAAGCCUUAUGAGGGUCAUCUAACCAAUUCAGCAUUGUUGACACAGCAAAAGAAUGUUGUACAGCGUUUAGAUUUCUGAAAUCAGAACUUCUGAUUGUAUACUACUGGCAAGUGGCAACACUUGGGUUUUCAUUGUUAUUCAUAGAUAUGUGUAAAUUCUAUAGAGUGUAGUAACAUGUCAUUCAGAAAAUCUCCAGGUUUCCAGAUGCUAAUGUAUUUAAAGUUGGUUAAAGACACAUAUCCAUGUAAGCUUGAAAAGUACGUCAAUAAUUAGUUCUCUUGUGUUGGGACAGGAACUCAAUGUGGUGCAUGCAAUUGAAACUUUUGUUUUUGGUUGAGCUAUGAUUUGGUUUGUUAUUCACAUAAUUAUCCUGUUCUCUAUUUUGUCAGAAUUGGUUUUAUUAAGUUUGUAAGAAUGUAAGUGCAUUUGCUCAAUUUAGUGUCUUUGAUUCAAGUGUGAAAGUCCAUGCCUUCUCGAGCUUUUAGCAUAAACGUUCCGUGACCAAGCCGCUUAAGAGGGAGUGAGGGACAGUCCGAGAAAGAAAUUAUAACAUCCAGUCCACAACCAUAUGUAUAUAUAUCCGUUUAUUGACUCGUAGUAUCUAUUAAUGGUUUAAAGCUAUCCCUUAUUGUAGAUUCGAAGUCCGAAUUCACACACAAACUUCUAGAAUCUGGUGUCUCUGCACUUCCAGCUGGACCAAAUUCUCAUACUCUCUCCGUCUCAAUUUAUAGGUCCCUUUUGGACAAAAAAUUUGUCCCACAAUACUUGUCCCUCUCUUUUUUCAAUACAAAUUUAUUUCUAUAUUAAUUAUAAAUUUUUUGAAACUCAACAUUAUUCUCAUUUCUCAAUGCACUAAAUCUCUAUAUUUAUUGUGAUUUUUUUGAAACUCAAUUAUAUUCUCCCUUAUCAAUGUACUAAUUAAUGAUAUAUGAGAUAAAAUUAUAUCUAAUCAACUACUUUUUUCUUAAUAUGCGUGUUUAUUCCAAAAAGGACCUAUAAAUUGAGACGGGGAGUACCAUUUAUAAUAUACAAGCCAAGCUCACAAUUAGAUACGUACAGGGUCCCGACAAACCAACAAACCAUCACAAGUCGAUCUAAAAUUAAUCAGAGGUUUGCCCAAAAUUUUAGUAAAUUCUACAUCCGUUAUUAACUUGUAUCUAUACAAACUUCUUAUUCUAAACGGUGUCCAUGUUACAGAAAUGCUCACAAAUGUUUAUUAUGAAAGACGCUAGAGGACUAACUUCGCAGAAAGCCAUUCCUUUUAUUACAUCGUAUCUGACUGUACCCCCUUGAAAUGUAUUGGCAUUUUUAGUUUGUAUAGUAUUUUUUUUCCUUCUCAGUUUGAUAACUCAAAUUUAUGAGUAAAAUUGGAUGUGAUAUGAUAUAGAUGGUACAUUACAUCUGACAUGUUUUAAAUUUGAAAACAGAUUUACGUGUUCAACUUCGCUGUAAUGAACCCAUAAGUGAAGAAUUCCCUUCAGCCAAAUUCAUAUGUGAUGUAUGAAUCACAAUAAUAGUUGCCAGCAGUGUGAUCGCCAAUGUGCUCUACUUUGCAAAACAUUUCAAAAUUCUUCAAAGGUGAUGUUGAAGAUUGCGUGUUUGGUAAAGUUUUCCAUAAAAUUCAACGCCGAUGUCUUGUACAUACAAGUUACUCCCUCCGUCGUUUUCCUAGAUCUUUUGGUUGUCACUUUUUAACGUAAUUUAAUGUGAUUAAAAGGUAUAUUUUCAUAUUUUUUUUAAAUUAAAAUUUAUAGUUUAUAUUUUAUUCAUAAAAAUAUUUUAAGAAUAAUAAAUAAAAAUAUAUUUUUAAUUAUUUUAAAUUACAUGUAAAAUGUUAGAAUGACAGGUGAAAAAGAACUUAUAAUAUAUAAAAGUCAUGCCGACUAGCCAUAACAAAGUCCUUCUUCACAUUGACAUUUAUCUCAACUCCAAGAAGCCUGCCAGGAUUUCUUCUUCACCGACCUUGAAAUUUUUGAUGAGCUCGUUUAUUAUGUUUGUUGCUUUCGACAACAUAAAUUUUCCAUAGAUUUCACCGUAAAUGUAAUAUCUUAAAGUAAAAUUCUGGAUAAAAUCAUUAUUGCGUUUGGUAUUUUCGUCAAACCAUNAAAUUAGAUAUUAAAAUUAUAAGAUAUAAUAUAUAUAUAUAUAUAUAUAUAUAUAUAUAUAUAUAUAUAUAUAUAUAUAUAUAUAUUUUCAUAUCAUAAACAUAUCUUAGUUUAAAUAUUAUUGCACAAAGUAAAUUCAUAUAUUUAAUUAGCUAAUAAUAUACCCUCAGUGUUUGAUUCAGCUUCUUUUCUCAUGUAUUCACUUAUUCCACCCAUUUGUUUAUAUAUACCGGACACCAAAACUAAUAAAAUUAUAUAUAUAUAUAUAUAUAUAUAUAUAUAUAUAAUAUAUAUAGUUAAGUUCUAUGGAGUACAAAAAAAAUUGGAGUAUUGGAGUACAAAGUUUGAUAAAAUGUAAUCUAGUCAUCUAAAUUUCAAUUUUUUUUGUCCAAUAAUAUUUGUAAAUAUUUGACAACCUGCACAUUAUGUUCUGCAACAUAAACAUCGUGAUCAAAUGGUAGAAUAAUUACUUUUAUAAAUCAUAGGACUCUAUGUUCUGCAAUAUAACUAAUAAGCAGAACAAUAAUCUUAAUACUUGUUAAAGUUGAAAGAUAUUAAUGAUUAAUUGACAAUUAUGUGCAAGACAACUUAUAAAUGAUAGAUUAUAUCAAAAUUUGGAUAAUCAAAGAUAUUAUAUAGGAUCAAACUAAAAAAUUAUGAUUUGUACUCCAAUACUCCAAUGUUUUUAUGUACUCCAUAGAACUUAACUCAUAUAUAUAUAUAUUAUAGAUUUAGUUAAUUUUAACCUAUCUUUCUCUUUGUUUUUUUUACUUUUUUAUCCUAUUCAAUUGUUUAUAUUUAUGCACGACGAUUCGUAAAAUUUUACAAAAUAGCAUAAAAUCGAAAGAAAAGUUUAUUAAUGAAAUGUUUAUCUGAUAGAUUAAAAAAAAUGAAACAAAACAGUGGAUGAGAUUAAUUUUUUUUUUUUUUUUUGCUAGUUGAUGAGAUUAAUUUUUGUAUUAUAUUCUUUCCAUCUUUUAUAUGAAACCAUGACUAUUAAAACAUACUUUCAAGUGAUUUAAUUGCAUAAUUAUUUUUUUUACAAAUGUUUUUGUGUAUAAAGAUACAUAAUAAAAAAUUUAAUUAAAAAAAGUCAAAAUUUAUUAUUUUUAUUAAUCAUUCAAAGCACUUAAUAAGUGUAAAAACGGAGAGAAUAAAAGCUAAUAUUUUAGUCAAAUGUUAAGAAUUUAACAGAAAAUUAAGAAAAAAAAUGUAAAGAAUUUCGAGACAACAAGUAUUAUUCUAAUUGUCCAAUACUAAGAGAGUUGAAGUCAAGCUAUAUUUAUUUUUCUUAAAUUAGCCUUGUGUAAUUAAGAAGUAGUUAUAUGUUAAUUAUAUAUUUUGUUUUGAGAGUCGACUCUCGCAAUUAGACUUUUAGUUCUCAUUUUUUUGAAUUUUCAUCCUCUCAUCAAUUAAGCCUUCUUCCCCGUAUCAUCAUUUUUCUAUUUAUCAGCUUUUCAAUAAAACUAAAAUCUAUUUUUUUAUUUUUUUUGGUGAGAUCUUAUUAAAUACCUUGUUAUCAAGGUUGUAGUGGUCCCAUAUUUUUGAGAAGUUAGUAUGCUAUGUUUUGAAAUUUUGUUUAUCGUUUAUGAAUUUUUCUGAAAAGGAUUUAUAAGAUUUUUUCGGUGAUUUAUAAUACUCGUAUUGAUUCUAGGUAGGUGAUGAAUAUGGCAAGAGCACAUUUUUUGCAACAAAAAUGUAUGGGGGUCAUAUAGUCACUUUUAAUUGUCAUAGUAUUUUCAUAAAUAUUCUUAAAAGUUAUAAAAUUACAAAAAAGUUAAAAAAACAUAGUAUUUGAUAAGCUCCUUUAUAAUAUCAAUUUUGUUAACAUAUAUAAAUUUUAAUUUAAUUCCUAAUUUAAAAGUUAAAUUAUUAUUUCUUAUAUCUCCCCUUUCUUUUCCCCGAAAACUUUAAUUAUGUAAUAUAUCUAAAAGCAAUAACAAACAAACUGAGAUAGACAUCUUUGUUUCAAAUAUGCAUUAUUGGUACUUUAAUUUUUUUUUUUAGAAAAUCAAUAUUUUGAGUGUAUAAAAUUUCAAAAGGAUUAGAUUUACUUUUUAUAAUAUAUCCUCUUUAUGUGACAAAUUUGUUUUAUUUAUAUAGACAGAUGUGCUUUGUCUGUUUUCUUAAAACAGGGCAAGGAAAUAUUACAUCCACGUAAAAAAUUUCUUAAAAUUUAGUCAAAUUUAUCCAUAAAUAUACAUAACUCCAAGGUCAAUAACCGUUGUGAAAGUACGACACUAUACUGGUUUAAUGGAGAGUAUAUCACAUGCAACCUGAAGUCUAAACGAUCUCAAUCGCUUGGGUCACAUAAUUAUCACAAAAGUCAAAAAUCAUGAAUCAUCUUUACAACAUUGGGAUCCGCUGUACAUCUAAAGAACAUACUUUUACUCGUAUUACUUAAAAAAGUUAUUUUUCACUUAUAAAUAAAAUUUCACUAAUUAUAAGAAAUAAACUCUUGUUUUAAAUUAAACUAAACUAAACGACUCCUUAGAUAAAUUUAUAGACAGUUUUUAUACUUUUAUAGAAUGCAAUGAAAUGCAGGUUGAACAAAAUGUUUAUAUUAAAUGUUAAUUAGAUUAAAUAUAACGAGUUUAUGAGUUUUUGAAAUUAAGUUCUAAUUACAUUCAUAUUUAGGUUUAAAAAAGUAGUAUAGAUGUUAAUCUUUAAAUUAUACUGUGUUAAUUAUCUAAUCAAAGUAUCUCUUUUGAUUAGAAUUUAAUUUAUUAAAUUAGUGUAGGUUAAUUAAUGUUCUUACACUUUUUUGUUAAUAUUCCAGGAUAUUAUUAGUUCUACUCUCAUAUGUAAAUAUUUUAUUAUCAAAAUGUUCAAAAAUACUUUUUAAUGUGAAUCCGUUAUAUGAUAUUCAUCUUGAACGAAAAACCUCUUUCUUUAUAAAUAAUUGAUUCACGUGAAAAUGAUUAAAUGAUCAAAGAAAGACGGAAGAUUUGCCGACCAAAGAAACCGAGACGUGUAAAUUGUAGUAACGUUGUUUGACUUUAUCUUACGCAUUCUUCUGUCGAUUCCAGAAACAGAAAGGUCAAUUAUUGGCGGGGCACUAGUCACAUUUGUAUGAUAGUGUCACUAUUCGAUAAGCUUCAUUUAGAAAUUACAAAAUCUGCCGACUCCUUGCUCUGCAAUUGGGGUCCCUUCGUGGUUUCCCCUCAAACUUCCAAAAUGCAUUCACAAUUAUAAUUUAUGUACGUUAACACCUUCAAACUCAAAAUAAGUAUAUUAAUUAAAUUUAUUUCAAAAAAAAAAGAAAAAAAGUAUAUUAAUUAAAUAAUACUUCUUUAAUUGAUUAAUUUUGUUAUAAAAAAUAAUAACUUAUAAAACAUGUAUUGGUGAUUUAUAAUAGUAUAUAUAUACUCCUUACGUUUGGUUUGGGAAUGGAGAUUAAGAAAUAAGUGUAAAGUAGUGGAAAAGAGAAAGAAAAAUGUAUGAUGUGGUGAGAGCUAUUGAUUUUUAAUGUAUAAAAGAGAGAUAGGGGAGUAAAAGUGAUGUAAAAAUGGAGGAAAAAUGAGUAAGUGAUGGAACCCAUUGAUUAUUUUUGGUAAGGUUUGAAAUGUAUGGGACAUCCUAAAAAGGAAACGGUAAAGAAAUGAUUAGCACAUGAGGGAGUAUAUUUUUUUAUUAAAUAUAUUGAAUAUUUAUUUUUAUUUUGAAGAUAAAAUUAUGUUCAAGUAAUAUGAAUCUUUAAGUUUCUUUUUUUUGAAGUAAUAAAUCUUUAAGUUAAGAUAGUUUUUUAAUAAAUAAUAAAUGUGUGGUUAAUAUUUUUAUAUAUGUUAAACAAAUAUUUUCAUGUAACAUAUUAAGUAAAUUCUUAAUAUUUUUUUUUUGAUAAAAAAGAAUCAAUUCAUUAAUCAAAAGCCAUAGACAAUCUACAAAUAUAAUCAAAAUUGGACAAACGCUAAAUUAUAUCACUGUUGAAAUUUUCUUUGUUGGAGAGAUAACUAGCUUUGAAAAUGAUUUAAAAUAUAUGUACUUUUUUCACCCAAUUGAUUUUCACUCGACUAUUCUCAAUAAUCAACCAUAAAUACGAUUUCAUAAUAACCUUCGAAUCUAAAUAAACUCAUGAAAAUCAUGCUGAUAUAUAACCUUGGUAGGGAGAACAUCGAAACACACCAAACCGAAAAUCAACAUAAAAUUCAAAUAAAUUGAGAACUCAUUGAAAGGUAACCAAGAUUUCAAACAAGAAAACGGAAAAAAAAAAUUGAGACGGGCGAAAACCGAUGGAAGUCCCUUCAAAUUUUUUUAAUGGAAGCUAGGGUUUGAGGGAGUGAGAGUUGGGAAUGAUACGAAGGAAGUUAGUAUAUAAAUUCUUAAUAUUUAAACCCGUUAAGAAGAUUGAUCCUAAGAAAUAUGAUAACUGGGAACAUUUCUAUGAGUUCUAAUAAUAAUGAUUAUUAAACAGAUUCAAUUAAACAUGUUACAAAUUGAAUAGGUUCGUAUAUAUAUCCAUGUACCCUAAUAAAUUCAGCUAAAUCUGUAGUAGUUGUUUUUGUGUAAUUCUAGUUCAUAAAAUUACUGGGCAGAUUGGUUACAGCUUACUUUGUCUGUGGUCAGUAAUGAAUACAUGCCCUGCUUUAGUAACGUAAUUUUGCGAUUAAUAUUGUGUUAAUAGAUCAGCUCUUCUUUUAAGAGUUGUGUUAAUAGAGCAUAUUAAUGAUUAUAGUAUUUGUCAACCAGCACUCAAUUCCAACUGAGAAAAUAACUCUGUGACAGCUUAAGAAGUUGAAAAUAAUUCAAAUACAUAGCUCCAACUUUAAACAACAGUAAAACAUAUAGUCAUAGAGUGCAAGUGUGCACGAACAUGCAGACAUUAUUAACUAAGGAACAACAGGAGUUGCUACAGCACGAAGCGGGUGAAGCUUGGCCAGAGUGAUCCCAAACUUAUCCUCCAUGUCCAAAUCUCCUGGUGCAAUCCCACCUUCAAGUUUCCAGUCAAAACAAUUUAUGAGGGAUCCCACCAUCAUGGGCACCAUUCUCAUAGCCAGGGGCAAUCCAGGACAUUUCCUGCGACCCGCGCCAAAGGGAAUCAGCUCGAGAUCAUGCCCAUACACAUCAACUUUGGAGUCCAUGAAUCUCUCUGGCUGGAAUGACAGUGGAUUUUCCCAUAGCGUGGGAUCGCGUCCGAAAGCCCAUACAUUCACCAGCACUUGAGAAUUCUUGGGAAUUAUAUAGCCACUUAAUUCAACAUCUUCUGUCACUUGGCGUGGUAGUAAGAAGGGAACUGGUGGGUGCAACCUUGCACUCUCUUUCACAAUGCAUUGCAAAUAAGUCAACUUAGAAAUGUCUGCUUCUUCUACCAUCUUGCCUUUUCCGAUCACUUGAUUCAGCUCAGCUUUCGCCUUGGCCAAUACCGUUUCUGGUUUUCUUAAGACCUCAGCCAUCGCCCAUUCCACUGUACCUGAAGUCGUAUCUGUUCCUGCAAUGAACAAAUCCUGCCCAAGUAUAUAAUUGUUAGAAUACUGAUAAGUACUCCUCCUAGCACUUUCAGAUUUUCGAAGAAUCGAUUACAUAACAUGGUAUCAGAGCUCUCUUAUAUACUCCCUCCGUCCCAGCCAAUUGUAGCCAAUUGUUUACGUUCGGUUUGGGCACGGAGGUUAAGAAAUAUGUAAGUAGUAAAAAAGAGAAAGAAAAGUGGGUAAAAUAGUGGGACCUAUUAAUUUUUAAUGUAUGAAAGGGAGAUAGCGUUAAGAAAUAUGUAAGUAGUAAAAAAGAGAAAGAAAAGUGGGUAAAAUGGUGGGACCCAUUAAUUUUUAACGUAUAAAAGGGAGAUAGCGGAAUAAAAGUAGCGUGAAAACGGAGGAAAGAUUGGGACAUGAUUGGACCCAUAUUUUUGGUAAGUUUUGUAAUAUAAAGAACUGGAAAAGACAUCCCAAAAAGGAAACCGUAAAUAAUCUGGUGGGACGGAGGAGUAUACUAUAGAACAAAUCACUUAUAUACACAAGGAAAAAUUAUCUUACAGUGAGCAAGUGAUUGGCGUGUCGUUUCUCAAUUUCAUUUGUUCGCAACAAUUUUAACAGUUCGUCCAGCACAUCUGUACUAGUACUGUCCUCAGAGUCCCCCAACUUCUUUAGCUCCAAACGCUCAUUUACCAUACCAUCAAACAACUUGAUUACCUUUCCAAAACCAACACUUGAUCGUCCUCUGAUACCUUGAGGAUCGAAAGACCUAAGAAUAGGAAAAUAAUCCACAAAAUUAGGCGUACCUGCCUCCUUCAUAAUAUUCCACACCGUGUCCUUAAACUCCUUAGUGUCACUCCCAUGAUACGGAUCUGCCAUAUCCUUGGAAAACAUGGUAUUCGACAAAAGAUUAAGCGCAGUCUGAAACGCAGCACAACCAAUAUCUACAGCCUCCCCCCUUUCGCUACACUUAUUAACGUAACCAACAAGCUCCUGCACCUUGUUCAUUCGAAGAUGAUGACUUGCAUCCAGCUUGCUUGUAGUAAAAAUAUGAGAGCUCAUAAUUUUUCUUAGAUUCCUCCACUGACUUCCAACAGGCAACCAUGCAACCGAGGACUUGAAAUGGUCGCGAGCACGUAUAGCAUCGGGCAGGGGCCGAGUAGAGAAGGCCAGGUCUUGCUUUUGCAGGACUUCUCGAGCUGCAGUCGGUGAAGUGAUCACUAUGGUGGUUAUACGUCCCAGUCUUAGACUCAUGAUCGGGCCGUAAACCUUAGCCAGUUUGGCUAAGGAUUUAUGCGGUUGUUUGCCGAGGUGGUGUAUAUUUCCUAUUAGUGGCAAGGGGGAUGGUCCUGGUGGAAGCUUUUGAACAGCUUUCACAUGAUUUUUUCGUAGUAAGAAGAGUGAAAAGGCCAGCAGUAUGCACAGCAAACUGAUCAAAAAGAUCUCCAUAUGCGCUGGUUCUGGUUGAACCUUGACGAAGGGUUAAUAUACUGAUAAAAAUAGGAAGAUAUGGGUUGGGAACUUGGGAUGCUUAUGCAAUUGUGUUGGUCUCUGUUUCCAUUUAUACACAAACAUGGCCGACAGAAAAUAGAAAUGAAUGGCUCCAAUUAAAACAACCUAAAAUGUCAAUGUCCAGAAUACUGAUUAAAGAUUUUACGGCUCAAUUAUUUCUCAAAUACAUUUCGCAGGCAUAACAACCAUUUUUUAGUUAAGUAUCGGAUUUUUAUUGGUUUUAAUCUCAUUAAUAGUGAUGACGCUAUUUGUGAUAGCUGUCUUGACAUUAAUGUGAUUCCACCAAUUAAGUCCCGAUUAUCUAAUUGAUUGCUAAACGGUGAUUCAACCGAUUAAUCCUAAUUUAGGUUUUUUUACAAUACUGGUGUGGAUUUUUAUCAUCUCUAGCCUCCUCGUACAUGAAUUCUUAUCGUUUGUGUUUACAAGGCCGAAUCUAGAAAUUUGGGUGCUCUAAACCAUUUUUGAAACUGGUGCCCUUAUUUUUCAAGAUCGUAAAUGAAAAUUUUACAUACAUUUAAAUUCAAUAUACAAAGAAAUCAUAAAAACAUUGGUUUAGGAUUAACAUAAUCAAUUCAAAUGCAUGUAAAUAUAUAAAUACAUAAAUAUAUCAUUAUAUACUACAUAUGUAUAGAUUUUUUAAUGCCCUGAGAUAGUGAUGGUCAAGACGUUCGUCUUGGUAUGCCGACCAAGGGCCAUUCCUGUGUGUUUCUAGUGAGGGAUUUAAGAGUCAACCAGAUAGUUCACAACCUGGUUGGUGACCAAAGACCAUUCCUGGAUGUUUCUGUUGAGAGAUUUAAGAGUCAGCCAGAUAGUUCACAACCUUCGUAACAACCAUAAUCUGCAACGUACUUCUGAAAGCCAUGGCCAUUGCUCUCCAAACACUAACCAUAAAUUAGGACAAUCUUGGGGGCAUGGCCCUGAUAUAGCUCUGUUGUAGACUGAUAUAUAUAUAUAUAUAUUAAUACAGAACAUCACAGCCCGUUUUGGUGUGUAAAAAACUAAACCUCACUCCUUAAUUUGAAAACGCUAAUAAACUUAAGGUUUGUCUAGUAUGUGCCAUGAGACUGAAUUCUAUAAAUUUGGGACAUUUUGAUUGGUGUGUUUAUUGUAUUUGCAUGGGUUCCACAAAUAAUAAGAAAUAGGAGCCAAUUAAAAUGAGUAAAACUUGUAAUUUCUAGUGUUUAGCAUGUGCCAUGAGCACACUGGAAAAACCGAUAAACUUAUUGGUGUAGAAAAUGGCAAAUGAGAAAACAAUCAAAGUGACUGCAACCAAACUGUCUUGGACCAUUGUCAGAUCUAGAAGAUUGUGACAUGUAUAUUAUAUUAUUAAAUCCCAAAAUUUUUUGUCAGUAUUUGGGUAAAAUUAUGAGCUUAUUUAUAUAAUAAAAAACUAAUUUUUAUAUUUCCUAACUAAAAAAAAUUCAAAUUUUUAAUAAUAAUAUUGGACAACAUAGCAAUUAACUUUUUUAACAAAAUCAGAUUCCUAACUAAAAACUCGAUUUCUAAAAAUAACACAUGCAAUAUACAUUAAAAAAUGAAAUAUUAUUAUAUAUAAUUAUUAAUAUACAACUAAUGAUAUAUUUCAACUAAUGUUAUUUUUAAUUACUCCAUGUUAUCAAUUUAAUAUCAUGGAUCCAUACAAUCCAUUUAUACUAUCCUGUACAAUAAUAAUAAUAUUAUUAUUAUCAUCAUUAUUAUUUUUAUAUUAAAAAUGAAAUAUUAAUAAUUUAAUUGGUUAGUCGAAUUUUAUCUGCCGACUAGUAUUAUUCAUAUGGGUCUCCUUAAUAUAUAAUGUUUCCAAUAAAUCAUUUUAUUAUAAAUAAAGCCAAAAAUUUUAAAAAUUCGGUUAAUAUGAUCGAUUUGUAUGUCAAUUAAAUUUAAACUAUAGAAGACAAAUUUAUAGAUGUUAAAAAUCACUAUACGGGUUAUAAGCUGGUGAUGAUUAAAAAGCAAUUAUUAAAAGUAUAAUUUUUAAACAAUGAUAAACAUACAGUCUUAGAGUGGCAUGUAAAAAAAAGUAGUCGUCACGGAACAACAAGAGUUGCUAGAGCACGAAGGGGAUGAAGCUUGGCCAGAGUGAUCCCGAACUUAUCCUCCAUGUCCAACUCCCCUGCUGCAAUAUCACCUUCAAGUUCCCAGUCAAAACAAUUUAUGAGGGAUCCCACCAUGAUGGGCACCAUCCUCAUGGCCAGGGGCAAUCCAGGACAUUUCCUUCGACCCGCGCCAAAUGGAAUCAGCUCGAGAUCAUGCCCAUACACAUCAACUUUGGAGUCCGUGAAUCUCUCCGGCUGGAAUGACAGUGGAUUUUCCCAUAGGGCAGGAUCGCGCCCAAAAGACCAUACAUUCACCAGCACUUGCGAAUUUUUGGGAAUUAUAUAGCCACUUAAUUCAACAUCUUCUGUCACUUGGCGUGGUAGCAAGAAGGGAACCGGUGGGUGCAACCUUGCACUCUCUUUCACAAUGCAUUGCAAAUAAGUCAACUUAGAAAUGUCUGCUUCUUCUACUAUCUUGCCUUUUCCGAUCACUUGAUUCAGCUCAGCUUUCGCCCUGGCCAAUACUGUUUCCGAUUUCUUUAAUACCUCAGCCAUCGCCCAUUCCACUGUACUUGAAGUCGUCUCUGUUCCUGCAACGAACAAGUCCUGUCCAAGUAUAUAAUUUGUGACUUUAAUCAAUUCGGAUAUCAUGAUUUGUAUGAUUAUGACAAAAAAGCAAUUGACAAAAAUCCUUAUAUAUCCUAUAGAACAAAUCACUUAUUAUCUUACCGUGAACAAGUGAUUGGUGUGUCGUCUGUCAAUUUCAUUUGUUCGCAACAAUUUCAGCAGUUCGUCGAGCACAUCUAUACUAAGAUUGUCCUCAGAGUCCCCCAAUUUCUUCAGCUCCAAACGCUCAUUUACCAUACCAUCAAACAACUUGAUUAACUUUCGAAAAUGAACACUUGUUCGUCGUUUAAUACCUUGAGGAUCGAUAGACCUAAGAAUAGGAAAAUAAUCCGCAAAAUUAGGCUUACCGGACUCCAUCAUAAUGCUCCACACCGUGUCCUUAAACUCCCUAGCUACAUUCCCAUGAUACGGAUCUGCGAUAUCCUUGGAAAACAUGGUAUUAGACAAAAGAUUAAGCGCGGUCUGAAAUGCAGCACAACCAAUAUCUACAGCCUCCCCCCUUUCGCUACACUUACUAACGUAACCAACAAGCUCCUGCACCUUGUUCGUUCGAAGAUGAUGACUUGCAUCCAGCUUGCUAGUAGUAAAAAUAUACGAGCUCAUAAUUUUUCUUAGGCUCCUCCACUGAUUUCCAACAGGCAACCAUGUAACCGAGGACUUGAAAUGGUCGCAAGCACGUAUAGCAUCGGGUUGGGUCCGAGUAGAGAAGGCCAGGUCUUGCUUUUGGAGGACUUCUCGAGCUGCAGUCGGUGAAGAGAUGACUAUGGUGGUUAUGCGUCCCAGUCUUAGACUCAUGAUCGGACCGUAAACAUGAGCCAGGUUGGCUAGUGAUUUAUGCGGGUGUUUGCCGAGAUUGUGUAUAUUUCCUAUGAGUGGCAAUGGGGAGGGUCCUGGUGGAAGCUUUUGAACAGCUUUGACAUUGUUUCUUUGUAGUAAGAAGAGUGAAAAGGCCAGCACUAUGCAGAAAAAAC
rnacentral:lncRNA from 1 species